rnacentral:tRNA from 1 species
GGAUUGUGGCUCAGUGGUAGAGCACUUGCCUACUAUGCAUGAGGUACUAGGUUCAAUCCCUGGCACCA